rnacentral:rRNA from 1 species
UACGGAGGGUGCGAGCGUUGUCCGGAAUCAUUGGGCGUAAAGGGCGCGUAGGUGGCGGGACAAGCGUGCGGUGAAAAGCUCGGGGCUCAACCCCCGCGUCGGCCGUGCGAACUGUUUUGCUUGAGCACUGUAGAGGCAGGCGGAAUUCCGGGUGUAGCGGUGGAAUGCGUAGAUAUCAAGCGGAACACCGGUGGCGAAGGCGGCCUUCUGGACAGUGACUGACGCUGAGACGCGAAAGCGUGGGGAGCAAACAGG